ensembl:misc_RNA 7SK 7SK RNA
GGAUGUCAGAGUGAUCUGGCUGCAACAUCUCUCACCCCAUUGAUCACCAGGGUUGAUUCAGCUGAUCUGGCUGGCUCGGCAGGGUCCCCUUUCUCCCUCACUGCUCUGCAUGCAUCCGUCCCGAAGCUGUGCUCUGUAGUUAGAGGAGGACUGUUCUUCCGUCAAGGGUGUACGAGUUGCUGCCCUCCUUUGCUAGAACCUCCAAAGAAGCUCUCAGGGUCCAGCUGCAGGAGGACCUAGGCUAGUCAAGCUUCCAAGGCUCCAGACACAUCCAAAUGAGGCGCCACAUGGGAUGAUCUGCCUUUCUUU